ACCCCAUCAAGGACUCAAACGGCUCAGGAGGCGUAUGUGCCAGGAGGUGACCCCUGCCAUCUGCUAAGGCAAUUGGGAGUUGGGGUGAUGUGGAGACAGGAGUUGGCAGUAGAACCCCACUGCUGGAAGCAGAGAGCUUUUGAGGUACUCUGGCUGAGAGUCAGAGACCUGCAGAAAUUGAACCAGGAAAAGGAAAACAGAAAGACCAUCUGGUUUGGCUGGCUUUACCAGCCUGAAUCCUGGCCAGGGAGGAGAAUUCGGUGCUGAAGAGAAAGGUUUUUCUGUUUAAUCCUAACAAACUGAGGGAAAAAAUGAGUAUCUCCAUUUUUUUCUCAGAUCAAAAAAAAAGAGACUCGAAGAGGUGAGUAAUUUGCCUAAAAUACAGUUGGCAGGAGAAAGAUGCAGGAUUUGAAGCUAUAUCUGACUUCAAAGUCUAUGCUUUUUCCACUGAAUUAGGAUACUCUGUGUUCAAGCUAUUCUGUUCGUUGUUUUGUGUUCAUGCGCUAUCUCCUCAAACAGAUGAAAACCAUGUUCACAGAAAGCAUGGUGUGCUUCCUUGUUCUGGGGCCGUCUGUGCUAAGGACUCAGCAGGAAUGACUGGAGAAGAAGUGAUGGCUUCUCUCUACAGCCAAACCAACCUCACUGAAUCAUUUCCUGAAACCUCCAAAUCAAACAGCUCCUCUACCAAAUUGACUUUUCAAAAUUCCUGUAUCAGAGUCAUAAA